rnacentral:lncRNA from 1 species
ACCAGUUUGAAACUUUUAAAUUUCGUGACUUUAAUUAAUUAAUUACUUUUCUAUUUAAAAUCUUAGAAAAUCCAUAUCUUUUCCGUUUCAACUCCGAUUUUCGUGAUCUUUACGUCUAUGAAAUCGUAGCGAUGCGUAGAAUCAUUUUAUAAACUUUUCAUACUGUUUUUAUAUGUUUGGUGUACUGUUCUAAUUGUAUCUUU